AUGAACGCUGGCGGCGUGCUUAACACAUGCAAGUCGAACGGGAAACCUUUUAAUGAAGCUUCGGCAGAUUUAGCUGGUUUCUAGUGGCGGACGGGUGAGUAACGCGUGGGUAACCUGCCUUAUACAGGGGGAUAACAGUCAGAAAUGACUGCUAAUACCGCAUAAGCGCACAGGACCGCAUGGUCCGGUGUGAAAAACUCCGGUGGUAUAAGAUGGACCCGCGUUGGAUUAGCUUGUUGGUGGGGUAACGGCUCACCAAGGCGACGAUCCAUAGCCGGCCUGAGAGGGUGAACGGCCACAUUGGGACUGAGCCACGGCCCAGACUCCUACGGGAGGCAGCAGUGGGGAAUAUUGCACAAUGGGGGAAACCCUGAUGCAGCGACGCCGCGUGAAGGAAGAAGUAUCUCGGUAUGUAAACUUCUAUCAGCAGGGAAGAUAGUGACGGUACCUGACUAAGAAGCCCCGGCUAACUACGUG
rnacentral:rRNA from 1 species